rnacentral:misc_RNA from 1 species
UAUUUUUUAUAGUCUAGACCUCAAUCAUGGCCUUCCAAAUGACUUUUACCGAACUACUGUAGCAAUGUUCUGUGCAUCCAAUUGUGAGUUGCAUGACUUCUCUUUAAUGAAAGCCCUCGCGAUGACUUUCCUUGGGCUACCGCAGCAUCGAUGACCACGUUCCUCGCAUUUUAUUUUUCAGAAAUCUUUGUACGACCAACGGAGACAGAUAUGGACUAUCUCAAGCUACAUUCAAGGUAUACAAGAUUUUAAAAUAUAGAUGAUUCAUUUCAUACAUACACAUAAUAUACGCUUUCCCUUUUCCUUUAUUAUAUUUAGGUGCUUAUGUAAGUCAGACAUAUAAAAAUCUUUAGAUUUCUGGUUAACACAUUAAAUUAGACUUAGAAUCAGCUAGGACAUAUCUUAAAUUGAAUUAUCCCGUGGUUAGGUAGAAGCUUUGUAAAUAAAAUAAGAUUUAUAUGGUUAGAUAGUUUAUAUUUAAUUAGAUCUAUGCAUAGACUAUAUAAAUUACAAUCUGAGCACGUAACUACGUACUAAUAGGGAAACUUUGGUUUGAUAUUGUUAGAAAGUAGUGAAAGCAAUGCCUCUUAAUAAUAUUAAUCUGUGCUUAUGUAAGUACUUACUUAUGCUAUGAAUUAAUGUGUGAAUAAUUCAACAUGAUAUUUUAAAAAAUAAAAUAAUGCAAAUUAGAUAAGCAGAAAGUAAGUGAAUAAUUUGGUAGGUAGUAUAAUUCCUUAUGAAUUAUAUUCUACUUUUGUUUCAUAUUUGAAGUAUCAGUUAUUUUACAUUUGCAUUGCAAUGGAACUGCAAAAUAAUGAUGCAAA